CCCUGACAUGAGCUUGUUGAGGUGUCUGGCAGGAGAGACCCACCUUGUUGUUCCAGCACUGUAGUUGGUUGAUGCCAGCACUUAUGAGAUCAGAAUAAUUGUAGUACAAUACUGGUGAUGUGCAUUUAUCUAUGUCUCAGCAUAGAAUUUAGGGAGGUAAGGGCAAACUGGACGAUACCAUCUUGGGUGAAGAGGUGAGGAGAUGCUUCCAUACCUGAACUCACUCUGCACCCUGCCCACACCACACAUAUAGACAGACCGGCUGCCUCCCACCCCAUGUCACUCACCUUAAGCAGGGACGUGGCCCUGCAUAGGUAAUGUCCCCGCAGUGGAGGUCCCCAACCUGUCUGCCCCACCACUGGGCCAUGUCACUGCCGCCAUGCCCACAUGCAAGGAAUGAACGUUUUCAGUGCAAAGACCCCGUUCUGCCUGGCUGCGUGGCACAGAGUCAAAGGAAGCUGCUCAGAGCAGGAAAGGGAGAGGAGACAAAGGCGGGAGAGCAGCAGCCGGCCCAAGGAACAGUGGGGAUGCCAGUAAUUGGGCUGCCUGCACUCGGCUUUCGCCAGGCCUGCAGGUUUGUUGUUCCCAGGCUGCAGCUCAGGCUGAAAGAGAGCAAAGAAAGUCAGCCCAGAAGUCAUCCUGAUCACUGCCUGAGCUGCGGUGGCCCUGGUUUGCCCACAUCCACAAUCAGCUCAUGGAUCUGGAGGAGCCCAGAUGUGGGACAUUAUUGUACACCAACAUGGCAACACCACUGCAUGGCUUCUGGAGCUAUCUCACUGUACAACAUGCAGGUUACUAUGAGAACAAUGUGUAACUUACGCUGCUCUUUAGCUUUAAGUUUUUGGCUUGACAUUCUAGUCACACAUACACAAAUACUCAUAUGUUCCUUAAUUUCCUUGAGGAAGUCUAAUUUUGUUGCAUAUAGUUAGAAAUUCAAUGCUUUUUGGAUAUAGAUACAGUCUUCCAAAAGCAUCUUAUAAGUUACAGGGUAAUGUCCUGACAAUUACUUAAAAUGUAUUUGAUAGAUACAUAGACUAAGCAAUACCAAACUGAUCUAUAAAUUAAAAAUGGUGAUACAUCUACAGUGUUGAUUUAAGAUGUUGAGAAGCUGCUGGAUAUCUGACGUAAAAGAGUUUGUGUUUUUUCCCUAACACUAUUCUACCUAGAAAACUAAAACUGAGUGUGCAUAUAUAUAUAUAUUUACAUAUAUAAUUCACAACUUUUAAAGACUUUAUAAACUUAAUUGGAACCAGGCCCUCUUUAACGUGUAUUGAC
rnacentral:lncRNA from 1 species